GACGAACGCUGGCGGCGUGCUUAACACAUGCAAGUCGAGCGAUGAAGUUCCUUCGGGAAUGGAUUAGCGGCGGACGGGUGAGUAACACGUGGGUAACCUGCCUCAUAGAGGGGAAUAGCCUUCCGAAAGGAAGAUUAAUACCGCAUAAGAUUGUAGUAUCGCAUGAUAUAGCAAUUAAAGGAGUAAUCCGCUAUGAGAUGGACCCGCGUCGCAUUAGCUAGUUGGUGAGGUAACGGCCCACCAAGGCGACGAUGCGUAGCCGACCUGAGAGGGUGAUCGGCCACAUUGGGACUGAGACACGGCCCAGACCCCUACGGGAGGCAGCAGUGGGGAGUAUUGCACAAUGGGGGAAACCCUGAUGCAGCAACGCCGCGUGAGUGAUGACGGUCUUCGGAUUGUAAAGCUCUGUCUUCAGGGACGAUAAUGACGGUACCUGAGGAGGAAGCCACGGCUAACUACGUGCCAGCAGCCGCCGUAA
rnacentral:rRNA from 1 species